AGUUAAUAUGAAAAUCGUUUACCAUUGUGCUUCAAUUAUAAUUAGAUGGGGAAGAUUUAGAUAUUUUAGUACAUCCCUAAAAUAGCCAUAUGAUGAGAGCUAAUUGGCCUAUGUGAAGAGGCUUGAUGGCAAGCUCUUGUUGUUCAAUUUUACUAUAUCGGUUAUAGUCGGUUUCGAGAUAUAUGAGAUACCAUGCUGC
rnacentral:lncRNA from 1 species